CUCUGGAUAGCUCAGCCCAAGCGCGGUGGCUCUCCCGCGCAGCCUGCAGUCCCAUCCGACUCAUGCCAAGGUCCGCUGUGAGGGAAGGGGUGACGUUUGCUCUGCGGGUUUGGAUUGCAGUGCCGGAACAACCACAACUCCUUGCAAAUGUUUGGAUUAGACAUCCUGAUCCAUCCGGCCUCUUCCCAACACCAAAACAGGCUGGAUGACCCAGCAGCAGCGUUCCCACAGCCCGUGCCUCCCUCCCACGGGGCAGCACUCAGGGCGCCGGGAAGCAGCAGCAGCUUGCCCCGCUCUGCGGUUAAACCCAAGGCUUUCCAGAAAUACGCCUGUGGCUUCGGACUCAGCUUUGGGAGGUGGCACCAAGGCACAUUCACGCUGCGAGCUGCGGAGAGCAGCGACCUGACUUAUGGUUUACUCAGGCCACAAAUUGAGCUCUCAGCCGCCCAGUCAAGCCCUUACUAAUACGAACAAUUUGUUAUCCGUGCAGACUGAGCUGAGCAGAAAAGAGAGGUUGUCCUACGCAGCAGAGGCGUUGGCGAGCAAGCAAGGAUGCCUGCCAUGACUUAGGGCUGCCUUUUGGUGUCAUUGCUUUGGUUGAGCAGCUCCUGGCUCUCGGUAGUCGCAGCGUGUGUCCUCCUGACUGCAGCGGACCCUUCGCCUCGCUCCGACAGCAGAGUCGAUCCUGCGCAACGCAAGACACGGCGGCAGGAUCCAGCCCAAAGGAAACAUCUCAGGCUUUGGCCCAUCACUAGCAGCACCUUCUCCCAGCGAAGCCCGCUCCAGGCAUGACGCAGAGCUCAGUCCUCCCAGUUCCCAGCGCUUGUUUGCCUUUCACCAAGGCGUCAGGAAGGCAGCGUGAAAAAAACCAGUUUAUGUCAUCUCAUGACUCACUGACGGGCUUUCCCAGUAGGCGCUGCAGAGUUUGGGGAAGAAGCUCCUCAAGUUUCAUCCAGUGCAAAUGCCUCAUGCUCCAACCCCGGCAGCACUGGACUGCUCCAAGGAGGACUCCGGGAUCUGGAGCUAGACUAUGAACACAUCUUGCAAGGGUGGCACGAAGAUCUGACAUAUACCUGUCACCACACAUAUUCCUUGGGAACGGGACAGCCGAUGCACCUUGCUGGUGGGAAGGCUGGGUCCCAGCGCUGAGGACUAGCUGUCGUGCCAUGGUCCGGGUCCCCGUGGGAAGGUACCGUGUCGUGCAGGCUGGAGAUGACACACAGCUCCUCAGCAGGGAUGAGGCUGGUCUCCUCCCUUCAAGAGAAAGAGCUCUGUGUGCCCUAAAAGGAGCCUGCUUUCCACCCCAAGUUAAUAUUUGCUACAAUACUAUUUAAAUGCAUGACACAAUGUGUUUAGACUUCUGCUGACUGCACAAUGUUCUUUUAAUCCAACAUUUAAUAUAUAGAACAAUGUAUACAUUGCAGAUGGCAGGUAAUGGACCCAGAUGAAAAUGCCCUGCAUUGGCGCCUGGCCUCAUUCACAGAGCCGUCUUGGCUAAAACGAGUGCUGUGAUUUCCCAGAAUUAGUGGCCAUGGCUCCCUGUCUGACGGUCCCUCCCCCUCCUCUCAGCACUGACACCUUCACUGAGAUGAUUUAACCCACUAACCAGGCAGGAAACAAUUCAAAGCCUUUAGCAUAAAGCAGAUAGUGUGAGCACACAUCAUGGAACCACCCAGCACCAGUUCUAAUAAUUUCCUUUAUUUUUUUUCACCAUUUAAUUUUUCACUCUUUUUUCACUUGCUGAAACAUAUCUGCAGAGAGUUUAAUCCCUUCAGGAAAAGGAAAGGGUCCCAAGUUCCCUUUCUUACAGCAAAAAUAAUCCCGACAGCAGCGCGGCACAUUGCAGGAGCAGGGCACAAUGCGUCUCCAGCAAGAAGAGGCUGAGAUAGGCACCGGUCUGCUGGCCUAGGGGAUGGUCAUCAACCCCUGCUUCCACACAGCGUGUAUCUUUGGGCCGAAUACAUUCCUCGUGGAAAGUCCCAGACCGAAAUCAGCACAACACAAGUGCGUACAUACCCAACGGCAGCCACCCAAGUCAAUCGCUUGACUUCAGUGAGAUUACUCACAUGCUUAAAUUCAAGCAUAUCCUGCUGAACGGAAGUCUUCGUUCGCAGCAAGAAGCGUUCAAUACCACCCUACGGCACA